AUGAGAGUCAAGAUAAGUCCCAUGCUUUUAAGACCAAACACAGUGCUUAUUAGCCAAAUGCCUACACCAAAUCUCGUAUUCGAACCAAGACUUUACGUUAAAUUGUCCAUGGCUUGUUAUAAACUUGGUCCAACUUUUGCAAUUUGCCCUGACAUUAUGGCAUACCAGACCUGCCAACCGCCCUGCAUCAGGAAGAAUAAAACAGAGAAAAUACAUUAA